rnacentral:lncRNA from 1 species
AUGGCGGUCCCGGCGAGCCCUCGCCGGCGCCCGGGGUGCUGCCCGCCGCCACCGUGGCCCAUGAUGUGGUCUAUAGAGAAGGAAGGCCUUUGCCCUGUUCCGGCGCCCCCGCCGCCUGCACCACUGCCCGCGUCCGUCUUGAGACCCUGGCGCAGAAGUGCGGUGGACAGACCCGCCGCGGUGCCGGCUGCGGGAGGCUCAGGGACGCCGGGUAGAAGGCUUUGGCGCAGCCCAGCUCGGCGCCCAGGAAGGCGGGCAGGCCUGCGGGGCCCGGGCCCGAGCCUGAGGCUGGCGCAGGAGCUGGGGCAGAUGCCGCGCCCGCGAACACCGAGGCCGUCGGAGGUCCGGGUGGAGGCGGCGCGGCCUGGGGGAACCGACAGCUGGCAAGGAGCGAGCGGCGGCUGCCGCGGCGAAGGCAAAAGCGUGCGGAUGCGGAUGCGGGUGCGGGUGCGUGGCCGGCCCCGGCGGUGCGCCGUAGGCCGGGAGAGCCAGCCCGUAGCCGUAGCCGUAGGCGCCGUAGGCAGCGAAGCCGGGCAGGAAAGAGCCGGGUCCCCGCCGCGGCCCCGCCACGCAGCAGCAGCUCCGGGUGAGGGUGCGGGUGUGGGUGCGGCGGCGGCAGGGCUGCCGCUUGAAGCGCUUGCGGCGCCGCAGGAAGCUGCCGUUGUCGAACAUGUCGGCCGACUCCGGGUCCAGCGUCCAGUAGUUGCCCUUUCCCGGGUUGCCCGGCUCGCGGGGGAUCUUGACGAAGCAGUCGUUGAGCGAGAGGUUGUGGCGGAUGCUGUUCUGCCAGGCGGGGAACUUCUCCCGGUAGUAGGGGAAGCGGCCGCUGAUGAACUCGCAGAUCUCGCUCAGCGUCAGCCGCUUCUUGGGGCUCUGCAGGAUGGCCAUGGUGAUGAGCGCGAUGUACGAGUAGGGCGGCUUCACCAAAGGGCUCCGCGUCGCCGCGCCCCCGACGGCGGUCCCGGCCCGGGCCCCGCUGCGCCGCGGGCCGCCGCCGCGCCUGGCCCUGGGCUCCCCGCUGCGGCCGCCGCCCCCGGGGCGCCAGAGCUUGGGGCUCGCCGUCCGAGCAGCCACCCGACUCUUCCUCGUCCUCGGCUACGUCUGCCUCGGCUUCCUCCGGGGGAGGCUCGUGGCCGUGGGGGAGCGCGUCCCAGGGGCACGGGGCCCGGAGCGGGCUCCCCCCUCCGCUGCCGCCGCCCACCACGUCUAUGUCUGCGUCGGCCUCGGACAGCGCGGCCGGGGAGCUCUCGGAGGACAUGA